rnacentral:rRNA from 1 species
AGCCGGCCUUGAAAUACCACCCUUUAAUGUUUGAUGUUCUAACGUGGACCCGUGAUCCGGGUUGCGGACAGUGUCUGGUGGGUAGUUUGACUGGGGCGGUCUCCUCCUAAAGAGUAACGGAGGAGCACGAAGGUUGGCUAAUCCUGGUCGGACAUCAGGAGGUUAGUGCAAUGGCAUAAGCCAGCUUGACUGCGAGCGUGACGGCGCGAGCAGGUGCGAAAGCAGGUCAUAGUGAUCCGGUGGUUCUGAAUGGAAGGGCCAUCGCUCAACGGAUAAAAGGUACUCCGGGGAUAACAGGCUGAUACCGCCCAAGAGUUCAUAUCGACGGCGGUGUUUGGCACCUCGAUGUCGGCUCAUCACAUCCUGGGGCUGAAGUAGGUCCCAAGGGUAUGGCUGUUCGCCAUUUAAAGUGGUACGCGAGCUGGGUUUAGAACGUCGUGAGACAGUUCGGUCCCUAUCUGCCGUGGGCGCUGGAGAACUGAGGGGGGCUGCUCCUAGUACGAGAGGACCGGAGUGGACGCAUCACUGGUGUUCGGGUUGUCAUGCCAAUGGCACUGCCCGGUAGCUAAAUGCGGAAGAGAUAAGUGCUGAAAGCAUCUAAGCACGAAACUUGCCCCGAGAUGAGUUCUCCCUGAGACUUAGAGUCUCCUGAAGGAACGUUGAAGACGACGACGUUGAUAGGCCGGGUGUGUAAGCGCAGCGAUGCGUUGAGCUAACCGGUACUAAUGAACCGUGAGGCUUAACCUUACAACGCCGAAG